rnacentral:pre_miRNA from 1 species
GGGGGGAGGCCAGAUCCUGGGCUGUGUCCCGACGCCCAGUGCUCCCGGGGCCGCGCUAUGGAUUCGCGCUCCGGGCCGCGCAGCCCCCU